GACGAACGCUGGCGGCGUGCUUAACACAUGCAAGUCGAACGGAAAGGCCCUGCUUUUGUGGGGUGCUCGAUUGGCGAACGGGUGAGUAACACGUGUGUAACCUGCCCUUGACUUUGGGAUAACUUCAGGAAACUGGGGCUAAUACCGGAUAGGAGCUCCUGCUGCAUGGUGGGGGUUGGAAAGUUUCGGCGUUUGGGGAUGGACUCGCGGCUUAUCAGCUUGUUGGUGGGGUAGUGGCUUACCAAGGCUUUGACGGGUAGCCGGCCUGAGAGGGGUACCGGCCACAAUGGGACUGAGAUACGGCGCAGACUCCUACGGGAGGCAGCAGUGGGGAAUAUUGCAGAAUGGGAGGAAGCCUGAUGCAGCAACGCCGGGUGCGGGAUGACGGCCUUCGGGUUGUAAACAGAUUUCGCCUGUGACGAAGCGUGAGUGACGGUAAUGGGUAAAGAAGCACCGGCUAACUACGUG
rnacentral:rRNA from 1 species